UGCUGUCGUGGUGCCGCCAGCCUGGGAAGCGGCGGCCAGAAGUCAGUGGUCCAGAGGCCCGAGCACAGGGCGGUUGUGCCAGGAACACUGACCCUGAGGCCCGUCCCAUCCUGAGCCGGCAUCGCGAGGGGCUGGAGUGACAGCGUGCCAGCGCCCCUGGAUGGGGCAGAGGGGCACCACGAGCUGGGGGUGGUCGGGGAGCUGCAUCUGCCAGGUGCCCCUCAAGCCCCGCACUCCUGCUUAGAAGACCAUGGGGGCCUGCCCAGGUGGGGACCCAAGGGUGGGACCACCCAGCCCCCUGAGAAGGUGAGGGCAAGGGGGCGCCGCAGAGGCGCAGGGGCUCCUGGGGCCCGCUGCUGGGCUUGGCCGCUUCCUGGGCUGCAGACGAGGGGGCUUGAAGGGCUCCGGUGCCUGUGUUAGCAAGACCACUUGGGGUGCGGGCGAGUCAGGGAGGGGACCCUGGCCUCUACAGGAGGCGCCCGAGGGCUUUAGGGGAGAGAGAGGCAGGACUCAGGAAGCACUUGGAGAGCAGCUGCAGGUGGGGUGCCUCGCAGGCGGUGGUGACCCCGGUGAGACUGGAGUGCGGCGGAUCGGAACUGCACUCACCGUUUUUGUGGAGAGGGGGCCGGGAAACAGCAGCAGUAAGUGCCGCAGUCAGGAGAAAGCAACGGCAGGCUGGGGCGGGCACGCGGAGUGCUCAGGGGCAAAGGCCCUGGGGCUGCGGACACGGGCCAGGAAGGAAGAGAGACCGACACAGAACGGCCGGUGGAGAGGCUGCGGCGAUCCCAGCAGGCGUCUUUGGUGGGAGUGUGUGGGACGGAGGGCCCGGGGGCAUGCCCAGGUGGGAGCAGGCCCUGACUUUGCGGACGGUUCGGGUGGGCUCAGGUGCCGGCCCCAGACGACUGGCUCUGUUUUAUUUUCCAAGGUAGAGGUGACUCGGGGUUUAUGUGGGUAACUAGGAUUUCUAGAUUUAGCAGAUCUAAAAAAGUGUUGUUUACCUGAUUUAAAAUGUAACUGGGCGAACUGUGUUUCAUCUAGAAGCCUGAUCUUAACAGGAGGGCCGUCCCGAUUAACAGUCCAGCCAACACGGAAAGACAAGUGGAGAGCUAUGUAUGACCACACCCCCUCUAAAGGAAAACUUUGCAAACAAUUAGACACAUAUCUGGCCCGGUGUUACAUACAAGGCUGUUAAUUAAAUUUUUUUUACUGUAUGUACUUUUCUCAAAUCUACUGUUUUCACUUAACAGAAUAGCUUCUUCCACACGGAUGAUGGCUGCUCAGGGUCAUGUUAAUGCUGAGCACUGUGUGGGCGGAUGCCGGCCAUCCUGACCCCGCUCGUCAAGAGCUCCCUGAGGAGCACGGGAUUCUCGUGCUGUUUGCCUUUUGGUCACUUCUUCAGAAAACAUUCCUAGCAGUGGUGGUUUUUUUUUUUUUUCUAAUGAAAAUGUUACUGAGAUAACUAGAGGUUCACUUGGAAUUCUGACAAAUAAUACAGAGGCGCCCUUGGACCCCUUAGCCAGGAUCCCCCAGUGGUAAGCAAUAUUUUCUGAAAAGAAACUAGAAGAUCCCAACCAGGACAGCGGUGCUGGUGCAGCCACUGAUCUCAUUCCAGCUUCCCUAGUUUUACUUUACUUGCAUGUGUGUGUCUGUCUGUGUGUGUGUCUGUGUGUGUGUGUGUGUCUGUGGUAAAUUCUAUACAGUGUUAUCAGCCAGGUUGGUUUGAGAAAUCUCCAACAAGAUGCUGAAGAGUCCCAACAAGGAUUGUUAUUUUGUCCUUUUACAACCACACUGCCCCACCUUGUCCCCAAACCCCGGAAAGGCAACUGCUGAUCUGUCCUCCCUUCCAAAAGCUUGUCAUUUUAGCGUUCCUUAGAUCAAAGUGCCAACAUCCGCUGGAUCAUCGAAAAAGCGAGAGAGUUCCAGAAC
ensembl:lncRNA